rnacentral:lncRNA from 1 species
GCUGACAGUGCUCUUAGCAGCCGCGGCCACAACACGACCUCAGUGACAGCAGCCACGGCGGGCCAGGAUCUGUGCUAAGGGUUUUCCAUGCCUCCGUUGCACGUACCCUAACAACCACCCAAGGAGGGGGUGUUGUCUUUGUAUCCCAGAACGGUUAAGCAGCUUACUUGGGAUCACACAGUAAGUAGCGUGGCAAGAACUUGCACUCAAGCUUGUCUGAGUCCAAGAGCCACCCCAGCACACUGCUCACCAUGGUCUUCCCAAAGGGAUCGGGCUUAUUCAGAAAGCCGAUCAAUUGGAAGGACCACGUAGUCACCGUAGAAGAGCUUGGGAAGAGUGUCAGGCAGUCUCAGGGGUAUUUAGGGUCUCCAGGGUCCACUCCCUGGCAUUCCUGGAGGGCUCUAGUGAAAGCGUGAUUAUCCCGGGCAGCCUUCAGCAGUGGAACAGCAGGGAACGCCAGGGUUAGGAAAAGCCGUGGGAGGGAGGAAGAAGCUGGAAGGGAGGGCAUGCCCGCCUGAAGCCUGAGUAGCCUCGGGGUGUGCAGGGGUGGGGAGUGGUGUUUUGGACGCCGGCCUGGCCCCACCCUGCUGACUGCCCCUGUGGGAGGAGGGUGGGGCCGUGAAGGGAGGGUUGUUUAUAAGCACCUCUGGCCUUUGAAAAACACCAGCUGAUGGCGCCACUUCCUUCGCUUCUAGUGUAAGGCCCCUCGGAGUCAGUGUCACUCCAGCCACCUGCAGUCCCCAGCCCGGGCUGGGGCGGAAACGCAGGGCAGCAGAAUGAGCGCGGGUUUUGAAAUCCAGCUGUGAUUUGGACCAGCUGUGGGCAGAUUACUUAAUAGCUCUGUAUCCUUCUUGGGAGUAAUAAUACCCACCUUAUGCAGUUCUUGUGAGAAUCAAAAUGAGUCCAAGCAUGUGAAAUAUUUAAUGCCUGGCAUUUGAGAAAUGUUCAAUAGUAGUUUCUAUUCCAAACUCGCCCAUCCUCAGCCCACAGUCAGGGUGGCUGUUCCCCAUUGUAACCCUCUUGAGUGCAUUACUGAUAUGCUCUAGGGUAUGCUUGAGAGAGGAUAUGGGAAUUUUCCUUCCACUCUUCACCUAGGUUUUUACAUAUGAUCCUUAUUUGUGGAGUGGUAGCAGUAAAUCCUUGAGGGCAUGCAUGCCCACGGUUCCGCUCCAUGUUUAUUAAAGACCUACUAUGUGCAGACACUGCUGGGGACAGAAAAAUGAAUAUGACAUAGCCCUGCCCUCAAGAACCUUAUAGUCCAGCUGAAGAGAUAGACAUACAAAUAAGCAAUUUAAAUAUUAGGCGUUAAAUGCUGUGAUGAUGGUGUGUACAGAAUGCUAAGACAGCACAGAGGAAGGACAAUGAGCAUAAUCUUGGAGCUGAAGAUAAUGUCCCCAGGAGGGUACGGUCUGAGAUGAGUCUUAAAGGAGCCAGGAGAAGUUAGCCAAGGUGGUGACCUUGGACUUAUCCAAUGAACUAAGCUGGAACCGCAUUUCCCAGAAUUCCCUUCCCUGUGUGGCUCUGGGCUCAGACUGACCCCAUGAGAAAUGUGCACGAGGUCUGGAGGGUAGAAGGAAGGCAGCAGCUGUGUAGAUGUUCCUUGUGUCAAUGUGGAGCCGGGUAGCUCACGCUUGUUUUUGCAGAUCCACAGACUUCCCUUGUUGAGGUGAGGCAGCGCCUUCGACGUCUCUGACUCCUAGGCCAGGUGUGUGUCUAGCUCCGUGAUGGAAGGUGCCAGCUUCCCUUGUAAGUGACCAGCAUGGGCUCUGCUUCACCCUUCCGGGCUCCCAGCUUACCCAGGUGAGUUCUGGUUUGCUCUGGCUCUCCCCACUUCAAGCCUCUUUCCUUCCUAACUUCCUGCCCUGCUGACUUCAGGCCCAGAGCCAGAUGCAGAAACAACAGAUGUGUGUAAACUGUUGAACCAGCUCCUACGAUUGCAUGGGUGGGGGUGGGGAGUCAAAUCCUGUAAUAAAUCCUUUGUUUGAGAUCACAUUGAAUGAUUCUACUUCUCUGGUUGAAUCUCUUUUUUUUUUUUUUUGAGACAGAGUCUCGCUCUUGUCACCCAGGCUGGAGUGCAAUGGUGCGAUCUCAGCUCGCUGCAACCUCUGCCUCCCAGGUUCAAGUGAUUCUCCUGCCUCAGUCCCCCAAAUAGCUGGGAUUACAGGCACCUGCCACCAUGCCUGGCUACUUUUUGUAUUUUUAGUAGAGACAGGGUUUCACCAUGUUGGCCAGGCUGGUCUCGAACUCCUGACUUCAGGUGAUCCACCCAUUUUAGCCUCCCAAAGUGCUGGGAUUACAGGCAUGAGCCACUGCCCCCGGC